rnacentral:rRNA from 1 species
UACGGAGGGUGCAAACGUUGCUCGGAAUCAUUGGGCGUAAAGCGCACGUAGGCGGCCCAGCAAGUCGGGUGUGAAAGCCUUCGGCUUAACCGAGGAAGUGCAUUCGAAACUACUGAGCUUGAAUACUGGAGAGGAUCGCGGAAUUCCCGGUGUAGAGGUGAAAUUCGUAGAUAUCGGGAGGAACACCGGUGGCGAAGGCGGCGACCUGGGUAGAUACUGACGCUGAGGCGCGAAAGCGUGGGGAGCAAACAGG